CUAACACCCGCGCGGGAGGAAGCACUGGGGAGUGAGAGGAGGAGAGAGAGCCAGACUCCCAUCAGCCCCAGCCAGCAGAGUCCACCCUCCUGCAGCCAAAAGGUAAGAAACAGGAGGGUGGUUUAAAAAAAUGUGUCAGUGUGUAUGUAUCUAUGUGUACCAGAGUGUUUGUGUGUAUCUGUCAGUGUGUGUGUUUGUAUAUGUGUGUCAGUGUGCACCUGAGUGUAUGUGUGUAUCUGUGUUUGUGUCUGUGUAUCCAUCAGUGCGUGUAUCUUUGUGUUUGUUUGUAUCUGGGUGUCAGUGUGCACUUGUGUGUAUCUGUGUUUGUGUCUGUGUAUCUAUCAGUGUGUGUAUCUGUGUUUGUGUCUGUGUAUCUAUCAGUGUGUGUAUCUGUGUGUGUCUGUGUAUCUAUCAGUGUGUGUAUCUGUGUAUCUAUCUAUGU